rnacentral:tRNA from 8 species
GGGUCGUUAGCUCAGUCGGUAGAGCAGUUGGCUUUUAACCAAUUGGUCGCUGGUUCGAACCCAGCACGACCCACCA